rnacentral:lncRNA from 1 species
UAAAAUUUAAGAAUUUAUAUUUAUAAUUCCUUGACAUUCAAAAAUCCAAUACAUGUAAACAUCAUACACAUAAAUGUAUUACAAUCAAAUACAUGUCUUACAAGUAGCUUAAUUCUUCAAAACAAGAUGUACUCCAACUUUAGAGCGUCCAAGUACAUCAACAGUUCUUCCAGCUGAAAUUUGUUACCAUUUUCUUUUAGUAUUGAUAGAACAAUGCAAAUAUCAUUUUUAUAAUUGCCAAAAAUAAAAAUCAUAGCCUAAAAAAAUAAUUCAGAUAGACAUGUCUCCUCAAAAAUAUAUAUAUAUAAAAGAUUUACUAAAACAAAAGUAAAGGGUCACUUCACCCUAAAUAUACUAGUUAUUACUCUUUCGUUUGAAUCCCUGACACUAAAAUUGCAUUCAACUGUUUCAAUAGUCCCAAGUCCAAACUAUGUAUCUGUAACGCCACUAAAUCAUCUUUGAUAAUGAUAUAUCAAUUAUCAUCAAAAUCAAGUUAUGUCUUCCCAAAUAACACAGAAAAUAAACACUUUUCAAAGAAUGACAUCAAAUGACAACUCCCCUUCUGUAAUUUUAAUCUAACGACCAAAUAAAACUCCACAUCAAAUAGUAUUUCCAUAUUCCUCAAUAGAUGCACAUAUUAACAGAUCAAAUCUAAACUCAAGUUCUCCUAAAUCAAAAUGUGCAAUCCACAAAUAUCAUAGAUCGAAAGGUGUUUAUAAGAAGCUCAUAUAAUACUAGAAAUACACACAAGAAUACAACAAACAAAAAUAAGUUUUAGUCUUUACAAUUUUAUUAAUUGUAUUUAGUUAUAGAUUUUUAUCCCCAUACGUACCCAAUACUAGCGGUUACUAUGUACUAACAAAUCCCAGACGGAUCUACUAGUGGAGUUCUGAUACCAUGUCUGUAACGCCCCAAAAUCAUAACACGAAUCCCUAUGAUCCAAUGUCAGAUCUCGAGGCAUUUGAAGAAACCAACCCAUGAUAAGCAUAUAAUAAUACCAGAUUCUGAAUGAUAUUCAUAUAUAUAAUUGGCUUUUAAUAAUAAUUAAUUUAAUCUGACAUGUGUGACGAGUCCCUGAAUUUAGCAACCAUCAAACCAGUCCCCUCUUCACGGCUACCCUACCCGGGCCAAAGCCGAAGAGACUAUCCCCUAUUCAUGGCUACCCUACCCGGGCCAAAGCUAAAGGGAUUAUAAUCCGAUCUGUAAUAAUAUGUUCGUGUAAGCACCCAAAUCAUAUACCCAAUUCAGGAACCUCACACCAUACCAACAUACAACUGGGAUCUCACAUCCCACAUACAAAAUCCAUCUCCCUUUUCCCAUCCUGGAAAAGAGAUGCAAUAAAAACCUUGAUAACAUUUCCGUUUAUAAAACCAUUUCAAUAUACAUACAUUGCUUUAAUAACUCCAAUAUAAAACAUGAUAUCUGUAACUAAUCACUUUAAUAAAAGCUAUAAUCGAUAAACCACGAGUAAUCUAUAUAUACCAAACAAAACCAUACAUGCAUUUUUAUCAUCAAUAAUAUAUCAAUUAAUUUGCAACAUUUAAGAUAUGACACAUGAAAAACAGUAUAAAAGAAAUGUAAGUCUCUACCUCUUGCUCGUUAGCUCCUUAACUUCCUUCUAAAUUUUAAGCUCAAAAACACUCAACUAGAAAUGUCGAUAUCCUAAAAACACGGUUGUGUACACAUAAGUCUAAAUUAGUACUAUUCAAAUUAAUAUCAUUUCACAAGUUUAGGUGAAGUGUUUACCGGCAACUUCGUGUCAUUAAAAUCCACUUCCAAAGCAUUAUAAAUCUCGACCAAGCUGAAUUCUAUAUUGCUUUAAAACCCCACUUCCCAAUCAGGCCAUAAAAACCAUGAGCAAUACCCUUUAUGUAUUGUCCCAACUCCCAAUCACAGCCAGUUAAUUACAGAUCAAAACACCAACUUCCUAUAAUUUUUAUACCCUUAUUGAACCGUAAUUGCCGAGCUUUGGGUUGUAAUUAUACUGAGCUAUUGAAACCUUCAUCUUGUAAAUCAAAUCCUCCUAUAAUCACUUCAUGAAUCAUGAACCUAUAUUAUAUAAUACCUGAAAUCCCAACACAUCUAGAGAAUCCCUUGAGUUUACUUUCUUCCUCCAUUACCUAUUUCUCUAAACAAAAAGUCACCUUGCUGGAAUUUCUAUCUCAACAGAGAAAUUAUGAAAGAAAGAGACAGGCUUUCAUUGCCAACCAAGACACCCAUAUAGGACGGUAAGUUUUGAGCAGGAAGAAAGAAAGUGAUAAGCACUUACAUAUAUAUUAACUUGUUUUAAUUAAUUUCUCAUGUUAAUCCCUUUCCUAACUUUACUCCCUAUUCCAAAAUGAGACAGCUUCUGCUAUAUAAAGUG